GACGAACGCUGGCGGCGCGCUUAACACAUGCAAGUCGAGCGAUGAAAUUUCGACAGAUCCCUUCGGGGUGAAGAUGAACUGGAUUAGCGGCGGACGGGUGAGUAACACGUUAUUAACCUGCCUUUGACAUUGGGAUAGCCUCGGGAAACUGGGAUUAAUACCAAAUGACACUAACUGAUCACAUGAUCAAUUAGUCAAAGAAAUUCGGUCAAGGAGGGACUCGAGGGUGAUUAGCUAGUUGGUGAGGUAACGGCCCACCAAGGCGAGGAUCAGUAGACGGGAAGAGAGGGAGAGAGGAGACAACGGAACGAAGAAACAGACCAAAAUACUACGGAAGGGAGGAAAGGAGAAUAUAGCAAAAGGGGGGAAAAGCAGAAGGAGCGACGGCGGGAGAGCGAAGAAGGGGGGAGGGAAGAAAAGCUCUUUUAUAAGGGAAGAUAAUGACGGUACCUAAAGAAAAAGCACCGGCUAACUACGUG
rnacentral:rRNA from 1 species